GCCAGCGUGACAUAGUGGUUUGAGUGUUGGACUGUAACUCUGGAGAGCAGGGUUCAAUCCCCAGCUCAGGUA
rnacentral:tRNA from 1 species